rnacentral:rRNA from 1 species
UACGAAGGGGGCGAGCGUUGUUCGGAAUUACUGGGCGUAAAGGGCGCGUAGGCGGUCAGCACAAGUCAGUUGUGAAAUCUCCGGGCUUAACCCGGAAAGGUCAACUGAUACUGUGCGACUAGAGUGCGGAAGGGGCAACUGGAAUUCUCGGUGUAGCGGUGAAAUGCGUAGAUAUCGAGAGGAACACCUGCGGCGAAGGCGGGUUGCUGGGCCGACACUGACGCUGAUGCGCGAAAGCCAGGGGAGCGAAGCGGG